UACGAAGGGGGCUAGCGUUGUUCGGAAUUACUGGGCGUAAAGCGCACGUAGGCGGAUUGUUAAGUCAGGGGUGAAAUCCCGGGGCUCAACCCCGGAACUGCCUUUGAUACUGGCAUUCUCGAGUCCGGAAGAGGUGAGUGGAAUUCCGAGUGUAGAGGUGAAAUUCGUAGAUAUUCGGAGGAACACCAGUGGCGAAGGCGGCUCACUGGUCCGGAACUGACGCUGAGGUGCGAAAGCGUGGGGAGCAGACAGG
rnacentral:rRNA from 1 species